GCCCAAGAGAUCGGGAUAACACCUGGAAACAGAUGCUAAUACCGGAUAACAACAGAUGAUGCCUAUCGACUGUUUAAAAGAUGGUUCUGCUAUCACUCUUGGAUGGACCUGCGGUGCAUUAGCUAGUUGGUAGGGUAACGGCCUACCAAGGCGAUGAUGCAUAGCCGAGUUGAGAGACUGAUCGGCCACAUUGGGACUGAGACACGGCCCAAACUCCUACGGGAGGCAGCAGGC
rnacentral:rRNA from 1 species